CACAAACACCCCGGCAGAUGGACACCUCCUGGCCCGCCGGCCUCUGUACCCCUCCGAAAUGGGAGUACCGCAGCAUCCCACAGGAGCAGCCGCGCCCACCUGAUGAGCACAGGUCUCGUCGUAGUGCAGGAUCAGCUGCAUCUGCAGGAGGCCCAGGUAGACGCCGUAGGUGAGCAUGCCCCCGGCGCUGGCAGCCAGCACGUUCUUGAGCACGCCCAGGCGCUUGCGGCGGUAGUAGCGGCGCUCCUCCUCCUCCUCGUUGUAGUUGGGGUACGCGCCCACCAGCUCGUCCAGCGGGGCCUCGGGCCCGUCCGGGACCCCGAGCAGGUCCUCGUCGCCCUGCGGCCCCGCAGCCCCCGCCAUCGGGUAGAGCGGCGGCUCCGCCUCCAUGGCCCGAACUACUGCGGACUCGCGGCGGUCGCCCCGGAGUCCCUGCGACCGCCCGGCCACUUCCUCCCGGCGGCCGGGACCUGCCCCCGCC
rnacentral:lncRNA from 1 species